UACGAAGGGUGCAAGCGUUACUCGGAAUUACUGGGCGUAAAGCGUGCGCAGGCGGUUUUGUAAGACAGGUGUGAAAUCCCCGGGCUUAACCUGGGAACUGCGCUUGUGACUGCAAGACUCGAGUACGGCAGAGGGGGGUGGAAUUCCACGUGUAGCAGUGAAAUGCGUAGAGAUGUGGAGGAACACCGAUGGCGAAGGCAGCCCCCUGGGUCGAUACUGACGCUCAUGCACGAAAGCGUGGGGAGCAAACAGG
rnacentral:rRNA from 1 species